AUUGAACGCUGGCGGCAUGCUCUACACAUGCAAGUCGAACGGUAACAGGCCGCAAGGUGCUGACGAGUGGCGAACGGGUGAGUAAUGCAUCGGAACGUGCCCAGUCGUGGGGGAUAACUACUCGAAAGAGUAGCUAAUACCGCAUACGAUCUAUGGAUGAAAGCGGGGGACCGUAAGGCCUCGCGCGAUUGGAGCGGCCGAUGUCAGAUUAGGUAGUUGGUGGGGUAAAGGCUCACCAAGCCAACGAUCUGUAGCUGGUCUGAGAGGACGACCAGCCACACUGGGACUGAGACACGGCCCAGACUCCUACGGGAGGCAGCAGUGGGGAAUUUUGGACAAUGGGCGCAAGCCUGAUCCAGCAAUGCCGCGUGCAGGAAGAAGGCCUUCGGGUUGUAAACUGCUUUUGUACGGAACGAAACGGCUCUGGUUAAUACCCGGGGCUAAUGACGGUACCGAAAGAAUAAGCACCGGCUAACUACGUG
rnacentral:rRNA from 1 species